GUUUUAUUUUAGCUUCAUAAGCAACCUCCUCCUGAGCUAAAAUUAUCUUGAGGACUUGUACCAAGAUAGAGAUGACAACAUAAAAUGUUCCUGUGCCAUAACUGAAGUACUCCUCAUUGCUUCUCCUUGUGAAUUUAUUGCUUGUGGAGUUGCCAGAUUUUACUUGGGCACAAACGCUCUUCAAACCAAGGGAAAGGCACUUUUUCCCAUCUGGUCAGAAGGGAAAGCAUCACUCAAGCCAAUUUGUAUAACUGCAUUGGGAAUUAACGUUUCCUUUCCUCUGCCUGUCCCACUGCCACCUCGUCUCUGAUGGCCACCUGGUUCUCCCCUCCCUCUCAUGGAGGGGCUGCACACCCUCUGUCUUCUUGCUUUCCUCAUCUGCCUCCAGCUGAUACUUGUCAGAGUGGAACUGGACUUCGCAAACUAAUCCUCAUGUUGGUCUCCAGAGAAUUUGAAUUUCAAGUGGAUUCUUCUCCAUUGCCUUGUCUGCACUCCUGUGCCUUCUGUCUGCAAGGAAAAGGAGCCUCACUGGGAGGAAACUGCUGUUAGUUAACUGCAGCCUUUGUCUGAAAAAGGCCCUGUCAACGCAACAGCAUCAACAACAACAGCAAAAGCCUGGGAACAGCGUGUCUAGGUGCUGUGAGGAACCAGUUCCCAUUAAUUAAAGCGUAAGACUGUAUCAGGUCAUGACACAGGAUGAUGGGGCACCAGGUGGAUUUGUGGCC